CUUGGAGAGAGCAAGCCAAGAAUCCCUACCCUCCCUCCCUCCCUCCCUCCCUUAGAGAGAGCAAGCCAAGAAUUACAUACAUACUACAUUCUUCUUCCUGGUUCAGGUUCCUGAGAUAUCAGACUGACCUAAUGAAGCACUCACAACUCAACUGAACAUUGGGAUAGUUUUAAAGAAUGAUAUCAGACCUGCAAGACACAACAAGCCCUACAGAGAGUAUAAAGCCUAAUGCAGUCUACAGCCUCUCUGAUUGGUCGAUGCUACAAGUACUGGUCUGGGUGACCAUGUCAACACAACCAGGGUUCCCAGGAGCAGGGGGAAUAUCUAAAGGAAGGUGGGUCAGUGUGGUUCUGGGGGAGCCCCAAACCAUGCACCGCCCCGUCCAGCCCACCGCCCCGUCCAGCCCACCGCCCUCGCCCAGUGCUCCCGUCCAGCACCCCGGUCCAGCGCCCCCCAGUCCAGCUCCCCGGUCCAGCUCCCCGGUCCAGCUCCCGGUCCAGCGCCCCCGGUCCAGCGUCCCCGGUCCAGCGCCCCGGGUCCAGCGCCCCCGGUCCAGCGCCCCCCAGCCAACAGAGCGGUCCAGUAGAGUCACACCACCACCAAUCAACAGGUUGAAACACAAAGAGGGAAAGACUCCAAGAGGAAGACGAGGGAGAAGACAUCUUCCACUCUGUCUGUCCUCUCAGCACAGAAAUAUGGACUUGAUCAAGCCAGUCGGUGUCGAACAUGUUUUACAUUUUGCGUCACUCCCUAUCCUACCCUGAAAAAUGCCAUUUCUGCAAGCGCUCUCUAAAAACAGACUUCAGCCUUUAUUCAAUCUCUAUUCGCUGAGGCGUUACAGAUUGCACGCUAUAAAUUUAAAGGUCAUUUCUGAUUGAGUCGACAUAUUACAGCGUUUACCGUGAAUGCACUCUCCACUAACAUUGCCUUUUAAAUUUAAAUCGUGACGUAACGCUGAACUUCCGCGAUAUGGAUUGAAAAGACCCUCCCUUUAUAUUAUUCCAUACAUUGGUAUAAGAUAUGAAUUCAAUCAAACACACAGUCCAGUUAUACACCCUCUGCUCCUACUCUCCUUUUUCUAUUGUUAAUUUUCCCCUCCCUUCCUUUCUUCAUUUCAUAACUUUGGCCACAGCCUGUUCUACUCUGUGCAGCAUAACUAACGGAACAAGAUGUUCCCUUUUCUCCUGAUACUGGCUGGUUGCCAGGCAGCAAUAUGGGAACAUUCAUUCAUGAGUUGAAUAAAACAGAAACCUGUUACCUGGUUCAGAGCUAGAGAGACAGGCAGCAGAAACCUGUUACCUGGUUCAGAGCUAGAGAGAGACAGGCCGACAGGCAGCAGAAACCUGUUGCCUGGUUCAGAGCUAGAGAGAGACAGGCAGACAGGCAGCAGAAACCUGAUGCCUGGUUCAGAGCUAGAGAGAGACAGGCCGACAGGCAGCAGAAACCUGAUGCCUGGUUCAGAGCUAGAGAGAGACAGGCCGACAGGCAGCAGAAACCUGAUGCCUGGUUCAGAGCUAGAGAGACAGGCCGACAGGCAGCAGAAACCUGAUGCCUGGUUCAGAGCUAGAGAGAGACAGGCCGACAGGCAGCAGAAACCUGAUGCCUGGUUCAGAGCUAGAGAGAGACAGGCCGACAGGCAGCAGAAACCUGUUGCCUGGUUCAGAGCUAGAGAGAGACAGGCCCACAGGCAGCAGAAACCUGUUACCUGGUUCAGAGCUAGAGAGAGACAGGCAGCAGAAACCUGAUGCCUGGUUCAGAGCUAGAGAGAGACAGGCCGACAGGCAGCAGAAACCUGAUGCCUGGUUCAGAGCUAGAGAGAGACAGGCCGACAGGCAGCAUAAACCUGUUACCUGGUUCAGAGCUAGAGAGAGACAGGCCGACAGGCAGCAGAAACCUGAUGCCUGGUUCAGAGCUAGAGAGAGACAGGCCGACAGGCAGCAGAAACCUGUUGCCUGGUUCAGAGCUAGAGAGACAGGCAGCAGAAAUCUGAUGCCUGGUUCAGAGCUAGAGAGAGACAGGCCGACAGGCAGCAGAAACCUGUUACCUGGUUCAGAGCUAGAGAGACAGGCCGACAGGCAGCAGAAACCUGAUGCCUGGUUCAGAGCUAGAGAGACAGGCAGCAGAAACCUGUUACCUGGUUCAGAGCUAGAGAGAGACAGGCAGCAGAAACCUGUUACCUGGUUCAGAGCUAGAGAGACAGGCAGCAGAAACCUGUUACCUGGUUCAGAGCUAGAGAGAGACAGGCAGCAGAAACCUGAUGCCUGGUUCAGAGCUAGAGAGACAGGCAGCAG
rnacentral:lncRNA from 1 species